AGCGAACGCUGGCGGCAGGCUUAACACAUGCAAGUCGAGCGGGCCCUUCGGGGUCAGCGGCAGACGGGUGAGUAACACGUGGGAACGUACCCUUUGGUUCGGAAUAACGCUGGGAAACUAGCGCUAAUACCGGAUACGCCCUUUUGGGGAAAGGCUUGCUGCCGAAGGAUCGGCCCGCGUCUGAUUAGCUAGUUGGUGGGGUAAUGGCCUACCAAGGCGACGAUCAGUGGCUGGUCUGAGAGGAUGAUCAGCCACACUGGGACUGAGACACGGCCCAGACUCCUACGGGAGGCAGCAGUGGGGAAUAUUGGACAAUGGGCGCAAGCCUGAUCCAGCCAUGCCGCGUGAGUGAUGAAGGCCUUAGGGUUGUAAAGCUCUUUUGUCCGGGACGAUAAAGACGGUACCGGAAGAAUAAGCCCCGGCUAACUUCGUG
rnacentral:rRNA from 1 species